rnacentral:rRNA from 1 species
UACGAAGGGGGCUAGCGUUGCUCGGAAUUACUGGGCGUAAAGGGCGCGUAGGCGGCACUGUUAGUCAGGCGUGAAAGUCCUGGGCUCAACCUGGGAACUGCGCUUGAUACGGCAGAGCUAGAGGAUGGAAGAGGGUCGCGGAAUUCCCAGUGUAGAGGUGAAAUUCGUAGAUAUUGGGAAGAACACCGGUGGCGAAGGCGGCUCUCUGGACCGAGACUGACGCUGAGGUGCGAAAGUGCGGGGAGCAAACAGG